CUCACCUGUUCCCAUUCCGAACACAGAAGUUAAGCCCACCAGCGCCGAUGGUACUGCUAACGCGGGAGAGUAGGCCGCCGCCAGUU
rnacentral:rRNA from 2 species